rnacentral:rRNA from 1 species
GAAGAGCCGCAGUGAAUAGGCCCAAGCGACUGUUUAUCAAAAACACAGGUCUCUGCUAAACCGUAAGGUGAUGUAUAGGGGCUGACGCCUGCCCGGUGCUGGAAGGUUAAGAGGAGUGGUUAGCUUCUGCGAAGCUACGAAUCGAAGCCCCAGUAAACGGCGGCCGUAACUAUAACGGUCCUAAGGUAGCGAAAUUCCUUGUCGGGUAAGUUCCGACCCGCACGAAAGGCGUAACGAUUUGGGCACUGUCUCAACGAGAGACUCGGUGAAAUCAUAGUACCUGUGAAGAUGCAGGUUACCCGCGACAGGACGGAAAGAC